rnacentral:rRNA from 1 species
AUAAUACUCCAUAGAUUAGAGACACUGGAAUGUUCUUUAGUCGAAAGUUCUGGCGCCUUAGGAUGGAUCUGCGGUCGAUUAGGUUGUUGUUGGGGUAACGGCCCAACAAGCCUGUAAUCGAUACGGGUUGUGGGAGCAAGAGCCCGGAGAUGGAAUCUGAGACACGAUUCCAGGCCCUACGGGGCGCAGCAGGCGCGAAAACUUUACAAUGCAGAAAACUGUGAUAAGGGAACCCCGAGUGCCCGUAUACGCGGGCUGUCCAGGUGUUUAAAAGUCAUCUGAAGAAAGGGCCGGGCAAGACCGGUGCCAGCCGCCGCGGUAAUACCGGCGGCUCGAGUGGUGGCCACUAUUAUUGGGCUUAAAGCGUCCGUAGCUGGACUGAUAAGUCUCUUGGGAAAUCCGCCGGCUCAACCGGCGGGCGUCUAAGGGAUACUGUUGGUCUAGGGACCGGGAGAGGUGAGAGGUACUCCGGGGGUAGGAGUGAAAUCCUGUAAUCCCCGGGGGACCACCGAUGGCGAAGGCAUCUCACCAGAACGGCUCCGACAGUGAGGGACGAAAGCUGGGGGAGCAAACCGGAUUAGAUACCCGGGUAGUCCCAGCCGUAAACUAUGCGCGUUAGGUGU